rnacentral:rRNA from 1 species
AAAUUGAAGAGUUUGAUCAUGGCUCAGAUUGAACGCUGGCGGCAGGCCUAACACAUGCAAGUCGAGCGGUAGCACAGAGAGCUUGCUCUCGGGUGACGAGCGGCGGACGGGUGAGUAAUGUCUGGGAAACUGCCUGAUGGAGGGGGAUAACUACUGGAAACGGUAGCUAAUACCGCAUAACGUCGCAAGACCAAAGUGGGGGACCUUCGGGCCUCAUGCCAUCAGAUGUGCCCAGAUGGGAUUAGCUAGUAGGUGGGGUAACGGCUCACCUAGGCGACGAUCCCUAGCUGGUCUGAGAGGAUGACCAGCCACACUGGAACUGAGACACGGUCCAGACUCCUACGGGAGGCAGCAGUGGGGAAUAUUGCACAAUGGGCGCAAGCCUGAUGCAGCCAUGCCGCGUGUGUGAAGAAGGCCUUCGGGUUGUAAAGCACUUUCAGCGGGGAGGAAGGCGUUAAGGUUAAUAACCUUGGCGAUUGACGUUACCCGCAGAAGAAGCACCGGCUAACUCCGUGCCAGCAGCCGCGGUAAUACGGAGGGUGCAAGCGUUAAUCGGAAUUACUGGGCGUAAAGCGCACGCAGGCGGUCUGUCAAGUCGGAUGUGAAAUCCCCGGGCUCAACCUGGGAACUGCAUUCGAAACUGGCAGGCUAGAGUCUUGUAGAGGGGGGUAGAAUUCCAGGUGUAGCGGUGAAAUGCGUAGAGAUCUGGAGGAAUACCGGUGGCGAAGGCGGCCCCCUGGACAAAGACUGACGCUCAGGUGCGAAAGCGUGGGGAGCAAACAGGAUUAGAUACCCUGGUAGUCCACGCCGUAAACGAUGUCGAUUUGGAGGUUGUGCCCUUGAGGCGUGGCUUCCGGAGCUAACGCGUUAAAUCGACCGCCUGGGGAGUACGGCCGCAAGGUUAAAACUCAAAUGAAUUGACGGGGGCCCGCACAAGCGGUGGAGCAUGUGGUUUAAUUCGAUGCAACGCGAAGAACCUUACCUGGUCUUGACAUCCACAGAACUUUCCAGAGAUGGAUUGGUGCCUUCGGGAACUGUGAGACAGGUGCUGCAUGGCUGUCGUCAGCUCGUGUUGUGAAAUGUUGGGUUAAGUCCCGCAACGAGCGCAACCCUUAUCCUUUGUUGCCAGCGGUUCGGCCGGGAACUCAAAGGAGACUGCCAGUGAUAAACUGGAGGAAGGUGGGGAUGACGUCAAGUCAUCAUGGCCCUUACGACCAGGGCUACACACGUGCUACAAUGGCAUAUACAAAGAGAAGCGACCUCGCGAGAGCAAGCGGACCUCAUAAAGUAUGUCGUAGUCCGGAUUGGAGUCUGCAACUCGACUCCAUGAAGUCGGAAUCGCUAGUAAUCGUAGAUCAGAAUGCUACGGUGAAUACGUUCCCGGGCCUUGUACACACCGCCCGUCACACCAUGGGAGUGGGUUGCAAAAGAAGUAGGUAGCUUAACCUUCGGGAGGGCGCUUACCACUUUGUGAUUCAUGACUGGGGUGAAGUCGUAACAAGGUAACCGUAGGGGAACCUGCGG